rnacentral:rRNA from 1 species
AAAGGAAUUGACGGGGCCCGCACAAGCAGUGGAGUAUGUGGUUUAAUUCGACGCAACGCGAAGAACCUUACCAGGAUUUGACAUCCUCUGACGACGUUAGAGAUAGCGUUUCCCUUCGGGGCAGAGAGACAGGUGGUGCAUGGUUGUCGUCAGCUCGUGUCGUGAGAUGUUGGGUUAAGUCCCGCAACGAGCGCAACCCCCUAUUGCCAGUUACCAUCAUUAGGUUGGGGACUCUGGCGAGACUGCCGUGGAUAACACGGAGGAAGGUGGGACGACGUCAAAUCAUCAUGCCCCUUAUGUCCUGGGCUACACACGUACUACAAUGGCAACAACAAAGAGCAGCAAGUCCGCGAGGCCAAGCGAAUCUCUAAAUGUUGUCCCAGUUCGGAUUGCAGGCUGAAACUCGCCUGCAUGAAGCCGGAAUCGCUAGUAAUCGCGGAUCAGCAUGCCGCGGUGAAUACGUUCCCGGGCCUU